AGUUAGUGGCGGACGGGUGGGUAACGCGUGGAUAACCUGCCGUAUACCGGGGGAUAACACUUAGAAAUAGGUGCUAAUACCGCAUAAGCGCACGGCUCCGCAUGGGGCAGUGUGAAAAAUUCCGGUGGUAUACGAUGGAUCCGCGUCUGAUUAGCUAGUUGGCGGGGUAACGGCCCACCAAGGCAGCGAUCAGUAGCCGGCCUGAGAGGGUGGACGGCCACAUUGGGACUGAGACACGGCCCAAACUCCUACGGAAGGCAGCAG
rnacentral:rRNA from 1 species